rnacentral:lncRNA from 1 species
UGAACCCAGAUAAGAAUCUGCUAAAAUAGUGCAAGAAGUUCCCUGCCUGCACCACAAGUAAGAAUUUUUUUACAACUUUGCUGAGUCAAUUCGAAUAUUCUUAACUCUCCUAAGCAACUCUUAUAAACAAAAAACUCUCCUAAGCACACCAAAUGUGGACAAAAGGUUACAGACAGCUGACAUAAGGAUUCCAACCCUAAUUAAGGUCCCCAAUUGUUCGGUUUACCAAUAGCCAAGACCGGUAUGGACUCAUUUCUGUUUCGGUUUAAUCGGAAAAUAGAAAUCACAUAUGUAUCCCUAACACCUCUAGGCUCUAAGCCUCUAACUAGCAACCGUCUCAUAAAUUCCUCCACCUCCUCUUUCUCUCUUUCUUUCUUUCCCUUUCCUCUCUUAAAUGCCAUAUGCCUUUUCCUCGCUGUUGCACCUCCCUUUGUCUUUUUGCUAUUUUCUCAUUUAUUAAUCACCCAACCCAACUACCUCCUAUGGAAAAUAAUAGUGCAGAAAAGAAUAAAGACAUGGAAAAUUUGACUGUUACCAGCCAGUAUGGCUCAUAAAUGGAAAUUCAUCUAUUACAAUUAAAAAAAACCUGUAUUGCAAUGACUUGGAUUAGUGAGAGCCAUAUCUAACCCUAAAUCUAGGAUUUUUGGUUUAUUUAUGAGUUAAUCAUGUAGAUUUUGUGCAGUACAAUUACUUUCUUCAACGUCAGUAAUUUCGAAUCAUUGAUCAAAAUAAAUAUCAUUUCGUAGAAUUUCACAAGUAUUUUAAUGAUCAAAUGUCAAUAGUUAAUGAAUCCUUAUGUUUCUAAAGUUAGAUCACAGGAGUCAGCUGGAUUUUUUUAUAAGUUCAACCUUCUUGAAAAAAGUACGUGGGAAAGGAGAAUUGGGGUUAAAAAAUUAUAUAUAGCUAUAAUUGGUAAUAAAUAAUUUACCUUCUCAGAUAUGGCAUCCUGGACAACAAUAAUGUCAGAGGUAAUAGCAGCAAUAACUUCUCCAGUAGAAGCCUCGGUGUCAAAUAACGUGAUGUCCUGAUUUAACAAAGCCCUUAGAUAAGCCAUCCUCAUCUUUGCUGCCUGCCUUUCACCACUAUGCAUCCAACAUGCAACCUCUGUAGUGUUUGGUCAAUUAAGACCCCAAGUUUCGAAUUCAGGAUGAUUUUAACAGAGAGAGACGACAGACAACCUUUCGUAAUUCGAGUUGACUAAGUAAGUUUAAGUUUACCUAUCCAUGAUGAGAACAUUAUAACUAUGCUGAGGUACAAGAAGUCCAAUGAAUACUGCAUAUAUAUAAUCAACACACACAAAAAAAUUUGAUGUCAGUCAAGACAUGAUUUUUUAUGAUGGGUUUUCAUUCAAAUGUACAGAGGUUUUACUUACCUUGGCAACUUUGUGUGAAGCUUCCUUCGGGAAGAGAUAAGCAAGGCCAAUGAUGUUGAUCAACUUGCCGAAGAAGAUGAAGAAGACAGGAACUGAGGCACCAUGGACACAAGCUCCGAUAGAGCCAAAUGCCAUGAGGACAUAGUCAUAGAAAUCAGCAAAUGAAAACAACUUCAGCAAUGGAACUUUGUAAGUCGCGUUGUUAUUUUCUUGCUAGUUUGCUUGUUUUCCUUAUUGUUGGUGGGAAGUGGCACUGUGCUUGAACUCAUUCUUCUUUUUCCUAUCUCUUCCGUUUCAAGCUCAAUCAAGCUAGAACCAAAACUUGAGCAUAAGGAGAAGGGUAUAAUCAAUAACAAGUUGUUGAAGAAGAAGAAGAAGAAUGGAUAUGAGAGAAAGAGAGAGAUGAAGAAAAGAGGUAUGGAGAAGAGGAAGGAAUAUUGUUGGGAAGAGGGGGAAGUUAGGGGAAUGGAGUUAUGAUGAGUUACGAGUGGCAGAUGGCUGCAUUUACUCCACCACUGCCAUCAUCCAGGUCAGUUUUUUCCCCUCUCUUUUGAAAAAUUUGUGACUGCCCCAUGCUUAUGAAAUCCUGCCAGUUGUUUUCAUCUGUGAGAUUUGCUCUUAACAUUUAUGCUAUCUACAAGGUUGGGUUUUUUGGCACAUUUAUCUACAAAGAUGGCUAAAACUAGGAAAGUCGGAAACUUUGUAGUCUGGAUUUCGCCCAAGUCGAGUCCAUUUACGAUAUAACAACGCGUUGUUAUUCGUUUGCUUACCUUCUUCAGAGUCUGUGUCCUAGAUAAAUUUCAUCAGAGUUCAUGAAUUACUCUCAUUUAUCUUGAUGCGAGUACUCUUUCGAGCGAUGAUAGAACAGAAACAUAUCAAUGUAAUCUUCGAUAUGCCGUUUAGUGCAAGUGAAGACUAUCAAUUUAAUCCUCGACACGAUAUUUUCACAUGGGUUUACUAUAGUAUAUGCUCAAAGUUAUAUGUUCAAAUGUUCAUUACAUUUGGUAGGUAGCUAUUAGUCAUGUAGAGCCCCAAUAGGUGGGGAACUUGCUCUAUUAUUUCCCUGGCUGUCUUUUGGAUGGGGCUACACUGAUACUAGGCUUUCAGUCUUUACUAACAAAAUGUCAGAAUUAAAUAGGGUCAAAUGCUCUGUAACUUAGGCUCGUGUUUAUGUACCGGUUUCGAAUUUCCACCUUAUCGAUAAGUGUCAAUCGAUUUGCAAUUUGAUUCGAUGAUCUUGUUAGUUAAACAGUAAUCUUUUAUGAAUUGAUGUCCACCAAAACCCUUCCACCAAACUAGAGUAGGCUCUUGAUGAGGUUUUGGAUUAUGAAAAGGUACGAUAUUAUCUCCUAUGGUGAUGAUGAAUGUCGCCGCUUGGUUAGAUAGAUAAAAUUGG